GAAGUUGACCAGACAGUCGCCGCUUCAUUGCCGUCCUCCGUUAGGGGGGAGACAGAUGGAGGGGAGGAAAGUCCGGGCUCCAUAGGGCAGGGUGCCAGGUAACGCCUGGGGGGCGAAAGCCUACGACCAGUGCAACAGAGAGCAAACCGCCGAUGGCCUGCGCAAGCGGGAUCAGGUAAGGGUGAAAGGGUGCGGUAAGAGCGCACCGCGCGGCUGGCAACAGUCCGUGGCACGGUAAACUCCACCCGGAGCAAGGCCAAAUAGGGGUUCACAUGGUACUGCCCGUACUGAACCCGGGUAGGCUGCUUGAGCCAGCGCGCGAGUUCUGGCCUAGAUGAAUGGCUGUCCACGACAGAACCCGGCUUAUCGGUCAACUUCACUU
rnacentral:RNase_P_RNA from 1 species